rnacentral:rRNA from 1 species
AUUGAACGCUGGCGGCAGGCCUAACACAUGCAAGUCGAGCGAGCGGCGCAGGGGUGAGUAAUGUGGGGGGAUCCGCGCGGGAGAGGGGGAAAACUACUAGACACGGGCGCUAAUACCGCAUCCUAGCGGAUGAACCCAUAUGGGAUUGGCUAGUAGGUGGGGUAAAGGCUCACCUAGGCGACGUCCUCUAGCUGGUCUGAGAGGAUGAUCAGCCACACUGGAACUGAGACACGGCCCAGACUCCUACGGGAGGCAGCAGUGGGGAAUAUUGCACAAUGGGCGCAAGCCUGAUGCAGCCAUGCCGCGUGUAUGAAGAAGGCCUUAGGGUUGUAAAGUACUUUCAGCGGGGAGGCGUUACCCGCAGAAGAAGCACCGGCUAACUCCGUGCCAGCAGCCGCGGUAAUAC